GAUGAACGCUAGCUACAGGCUUAACACAUGCAAGUCGAGGGGCAGCGGGAUUGAAGCUUGCUUCAAUUGCCGGCGACCGGCGCACGGGUGAGUAACGCGUAUCCAACCUUCCGCUUACUCGGGGAUAGCCUUUCGAAAGAAAGAUUAAUACCCGAUGGUAUCUUAAGCACGCAUGAGAUUAAGAUUAAAGGUAUUCCGGUAGACGAUGGGGAUGCGUUCCAUUAGAUAGUAGGCGGGGUAACGGCCCACCUAGUCUUCGAUGGAUAGGGGUUCUGAGAGGAAGGUCCCCCACAUUGGAACUGAGACACGGUCCAA
rnacentral:rRNA from 1 species